rnacentral:rRNA from 1 species
AACGAACGCUGGCGGCAGGCUUAACACAUGCAAGUCGAACGCCCCGCAAGGGGAGUGGCCGACGGGUGAGUAACGCGUGGGAACAUACCCUUUUCUACGGAAUAGCUCUGGGAAACUGGAAUUAAUACCGUAUACGCCCUACGGGGGAAAGAUUUAUCGGGGAAGGAUUGGCCCGCGUUGGAUUAGCUAGUUGGUGGGGUAAAGGCCUACCAAGGCGACGAUCCAUAGCUGGUCUGAGAGGAUGAUCAGCCACAUUGGGACUGAGACACGGCCCAAACUCCUACGGGAGGCAGCAGUGGGGAAUAUUGGACAAUGGGCGCAAGCCUGAUCCAGCCACGCCGCGUGAGUGAUGAAGGCCUUAGGGUUGUAAAGCUCUUUCACCGAUGAAGAUAAUGACGGUAGUCGGAGAAGAAGCCCCGGCUAACUUCGUG